UUGAAACUGGAUGACUUGAGGGCAGGUGAGGGGAGUGGAAUUCCCAGUGUAGCGGUGAAAUGCGUAGAUAUUGGGAGGAACACCAGUGGCGAAGGCGGCUCUCUGGCCUGUUUCUGACGCUGAGGCGCGAAAGCUUGGGGAGAAAACGGGAUUAGAUACCCUGGUAGUCCACUCCGUAAACGAUGGGUGCUAGGUGUGGGAGGUAUCAACCCCUUCUGUGGCGGAUUUAACACAAUAAGCACCCCGCCUGGGGAGUACGGCCGCAAGGUUGAAACUCAAAGGAAUUGACGGGGGCCCGCACAAGCGGUGGAGCAUGUGGUUUAAUUCGACACUUCGCGAAGAACCUUACCAGGGCUUGACAUCAUCUGACCGCAUAUGAUAUUUUGUUUUCUGACUUCGGUCAGACAAAGAGACAUGUGAUGCAUGCAUAUCAUCAGCUCGUGUCGUGAGAUGUUGCGUUUAGUCCCGAAUCGAGCCCAAU
rnacentral:rRNA from 1 species